GCUAAUUAAGUGUUAGAUUUUAUGCACAUUGAUUUUUCACGUCAAAAGAGCAUUUUAGUGCAUUUAGCU
rnacentral:tRNA from 2 species